UGAGCCACCUUGCCCAGCCAUAAGUCACUCUUUCCCAGCCAGUGUGUCUUGAGUGGGUCCCAGAUACGCAUAUCCUGCGUGUGUCUCGCAAAAGAGCACUGGUACGGACUAGCGCUGGGGCCCCAGUCCUUACAUCAGCAAUGGAAAUUAACUCCUGGAGCUUUUGAUUAUGUGAGAUAAUAAACCGCCAUUUUUUAUUUAGAUCAUUUUGAAUGGGAUCUUUAGAAACUUGUAGCUAAAAGUGUGCUAACCUGUCUCUGAAUACUAAGUUGUCAAGUCAACUAGUGUUCCCACGUUUUCCUGGAGACGCCCCUCCUGGCUUCCUGGAUGCCCUGAAUAACUGCUCAGGUCAUUGGUGUCACCCUGAGCCUUCCCUUCCCUUCCCUUCUCUCCUGUUGAGAGCCGGUUUCUCAGACCCUCGCGCUUUUCUUUCUUAAAGGCCCUUUUCCCAGUGGGGCACAACCUUUAGCAGCUUCCUUGGAAAGAGUGCACGUGAGCUAAAAUUGUGAAGACCUUGCAUGUCUGAAUGUCUUUAUUCUACUCUCAACACCAUUUCUUAUCUCUUAGAUGCAAUAUCUCUUAUGUCUCUGGGGAUGUUGUAUUUUAUCCUUGGUUAUUCGUUUUGUUUUACUUUGUUUCUUCUUUGCUCUUUCUGUCUUUUCUGGUCUCUAUGUUUGAGGUCUCCUGGCGAGGUCUGGUUCUCCUGUAUAUUUAAGACACUUAAAACCAAUGAUAAAGGUGGCAGUCUUUUCCUGUUCUCUCCUGUUGAUUCUGUUUAAUGCAUGGGCCAUUAGGCUUGGAUCCUGCUGUUUCUUGGGGUUCUCCAGAUGUCAGUAUCUGUAGGCCUUUCAUCUAGGGCCAUUCAGUGCCUCCGGAAAGAAAUCCACCUGCAGCCGGUGUUUGGUUACUCAACACACAGUGUGCAUAUUUUAAUUAACCCACCUGCUUUCAGUACAGUGCCUCUCCCUCGUGCUCUCUCAUAUCUGGGGCUCCCUAAUCUUGAAAAAUUGAAAGAGCAUAAGUCCACAGAAUAUCUUCAGCCUCCUGCUGGGGUGGGGAGUAGUAUAAUCAAGCAGUUUGGGCCAAUCUCCUGUUUCCCAUCCCAGGGCUUACUCCAGUCUUCCACUUCUAGUUGCAGGGACUUUCUGAUAUAUCAUGGUGAGAAUUCACUUGCUUCUCUGCAUGCACUAGGUAUUUAGCUUUCUCCAUCUUGCUGCUCUCUCCACAGCUUCCUUUUCUUCCAGAUAUUUGUUGCUAUCAUUACCCACUGAUAGCUUCUCUUUUGUUUACAUUGUUCCUGUGAGUUUACAUCAUUCUUAUUCUUUUAGUUUCAUAUUCCUUUUUCUGGAAGGAAUGGAGAUAAACUCAACAGUGUACCAUUUUUUAAGCAGAAACCCACAAAUGGCUUUAAACAAAGUAAAAAUAACCUAUUUGGCUUUGUGGAGGGUUUAUUUUCCCUGGAAGAGCUUACUGGAUUUAAGAAAGUCCUAACUUUGAAAAUUCACCUUAUUGUAGUUUUCAGUUUGCAUCAACCCCAUGCUUUUCCCAGGAAUCAGAAGGAAGGAGAACGUCAUUUUCCUUUUUAGUCUGGUUUAAUAAGCAUUUGCAUAAUGGAAUAAGGACCUUUUAGAGGCAGUGGCUUCCUGUAUGACUGAACGCAAAGGACUGGCUCUUUAAAAUAUGAGAUGGCACUUCUGUUUCUAUUUUCAGUGAGAUUUUGAAAAGGUUACAUCUUAAUUAUAGCAGAUUAAUCACCUUUAAGAGUAAGUCUUGGAAAGAUUAGGAUGUGUAUAUUUAGAAUACACAUAAGAAAACACAAGGUCUCAGCAGCAGUUAGAGUCAGUAAUCAAAGUGUAUAUUUCUAGCCCAAAACUAAUGAACUAAACAAAGAAACAAAACUUUGCCACUUGAGCUCUUUUCUCACCUCUAAUAUUGCUUAACCUAAGGAAACUAAGUUUAGGCUAAACUUAGUUUUAACUAAGGUUAACUUAGUUUCUUUUCUAAAUUUGAAAACACCACUGCCAAAAUGCCCUAAAUCCCCUUUUUCCCAGGUGAAUUAUUAAGAUUUUUCAAAUGAACAGCCUUUGCCAGGAGAUACAAUAUGCUCUUUGAAUUGUGCAUCUUUUAUGAAUAGUAACUAAAUGACUGCCGUGCAUUCCAGAAUGUGCAGACACUGAUUGCUGUGUAUGUGUUUCUACUCAAAACAGUGCCUUGGAAGAUAACUGUAGAUGCUUUUACUCCCAUCCCUAUAAUGGAUGGUGUUUGGAAUCUUGCAUCAAAAUGUUUUAUCCAGUUUUUAAACAUGGACUCAUGCCCAUUGCUGAAUGUAAGUGGACAAAUAGAGCGGCAAAAACGUGGGAAUGAGAAGUUUUUGCUCCGUGCUCUCUUGUACUUAGAGAGUUAAUUGUAUCUUGGGAGGAAAUGAUGAGCUCUUAGUUGUGCUUGAUAUGUAAUGACUACAUGAGGGGAAGGUGAGAAGAGUCUGGGAAGGUCAUGAGAAUCAUCUGACUUUGAGCCCUUGAUAACUAUAAUUAAGCAUAAUGACUAAUUUAGAUAUUUUAAAUGACUUCCAGAUGCUUACAAACAGACUUUCCUUUUAGAUAGAAAUCCUCUUGCAUUUUAAACUUGUUCUUAUUGAUUUACCUACCAGUAAAGACGUCCUGACUUGGCGUUACUACAUCGAGCAGUAGGCAGUGAUAGAAGCGUGGAUCUUAAAAAGCCUUGUGUACCAGCAGGAAAGCGCUUUUCAGGAAACAAACGAGAUGAACGAAGGGACCAGGUGGAAGAUCUGAAAGUGGCCCUGAGGAGCUGAGAGUAAUUCCUGGCCCACAGCUGACAAGAAGACAGGAACCUUAGUCCUACAACUGCCAGGAACUGAAUGUGGCCAGCAAGCCGGUGAGCUAGGAAGCAGUUCAUUUCAGAGCCUCCAGCUAAGAGCCUGGCCAAGCCUCCUUGGGCUUCUCAUCUACAGAACUGUGAGAUCCUCCAAGUCAAUUUCAAGGUUUAGCACCCAAUGUAAGUCAAACAACUGGGGGGUGGGGCACUGCUUGGGAAAGUUUCAGUUGGAAUAUUUCUAAGGCUUACAAAGAUUAUUAGCCUUACCCUAAGUGAAUUUCAACACAGCCCAUGUAAGAUCUGAUGAAGGAAUAGCAUAAAAAUGAUUUUACCUGCUUGUCAAGGCCUGUCUUGGACUGCCACCCUGGGGCACCCUCCUUGUAGCCAGAUAGUGCCUGUUCUCAGUCACCCACAGGGAAGGAGCUCUGGGCUAACCUAACAUUCCUGGGUAAUAGCAGCUUUGACUUUUGCUCCUUUCAUGGACAGGUUAGAAAGGAACAGUUUGAGAAGGUGACAUACUAUGUGCCUAUGGUGAGGCACUAAUUGUCCUUCUAAGAAUGGCAGGAAAGGAGAUAUCUCUCUUACAGCCUGAAGAGUCCAGACCUCAGUGGCCCUUCUGUUUCUCAGAAAGGGGUGACAGUCACCUUCAAUGAGUCAGUUGAGAGAAGGAGAAAAAUUUGAGUAAAAGCUUUUAAACAUCUCUAGAAAAAGGAAAGACCCACAAUAAUUAUCUCAAAAAUAAACUUUUAUUUAAGUUCAAUGUACAGUUCAUUAAUAAAAGAAAAAUGUUUAUCUACAGGUCAGCAGGACUAGAUGUGUCCCAACAUGUGCCUUUAGAAUUUUCAAGAUGCCGAGCAUAAUUUGGUUGUACGCACUG